AUUGAACGCUGGCGGCAGGCCUAACACAUUCAAGUCGAGCGAGCGGCGGACGGGUGAGUAAUGUAUGGGGACUGCCCGAUAGAGGGGGAUAACUACUGGAAACGGUGGCUAAUACCGCAUACUAUCGGAUAACCCAUAUGGGAUUGGCUAGUAGGUGGGGUAAAGGCUCACCUAGGCGACGAUCUCUAGCUGGUCUGAGAGGAUGAUCAGCGACACGGGUGCUGCGACACGGCCCAGACUACUACGGAGGCAGCAGUUGGGACUAUUGCACAAUGGGCGCAAGCCUGAUGCAUCCAUGCCACGUGUAUGAAGAAGGCCUUAGGGUUGUAAAGUACUUUCAGCGGGGCGGCGUUACCCGCAGAAGAGAGACCGGCUACCUCCGUGACAGCAGCCGCGGUAAUAC
rnacentral:rRNA from 1 species